GAUGAACGCUGGCGGCGUGCCUAAUACAUGCAAGUCGAGCGAACAGACGAGGAGCUUGCUCCUCUGAUGUUAGCGGCGGACGGGUGAGUAACACGUGGAUAACCUACCUAUAAGACUGGGAUAACUUCGGGAAACCGGAGCUAAUACCGGAUAAUAUUUUGAACCGCAUGGUUCAAAAGUGAAAGACGGUCUUGCUGUAACUUAUGGAUGGAUCCGCGUGGAUUUAGCUGGUUGGGAAGGUAACGGCUUACAAGGCGAACGAUCGAUAGCCGACCGAGAGGGGGAUCGGCCCACACGGGAGUGUGACCCGGCACAAGACCCCUACGGAAGGCACCAGAAGGGAACCUUCGGCAUGGGGCGAAAGCCUGACGGAGAAGCGCGGCGGGAGGGAUAAGGGUCUCCGGUUCGUAAGACUCUGUUAAUGGGGAAAAACAGAUUUGGAAGUGACUGUUCACACCGUGACGGUACCUAAUCAGAAAGCCACGGCUAACUACGUG
rnacentral:rRNA from 1 species